UACGUAGGAUGCAAGCGUUGUCCGGAUUUACUGGGCGUAAAGCGCGCGCAGGCGGCACCGCAAGUAAGGUGUGAAAUCUCCAUGCUAAACGUGGAGGGUGCACCUUAGACUGCGGAGCUAGAGGUCGGUAGAGGGGGGUGGAAUUGCUGGUGUAGCGGUGAAAUGCGUAGAGAUCAGCAGGAACACCCGUGGCGAAGGCGGCCCCCUGGGCCGUACCUGACGCUGAGGCGCGAAGGCUAGGGGAGCGAACGGG
rnacentral:rRNA from 1 species